AGAGUUUGAUCCUGGCUCAGAUUGAACGCUGGCGGCAGGCCUAACACAUGCAAGUCGAACGGUAACAGGAAGAAGCUUGCUUCUUUGCUGACGAGUGGCGGACGGGUGAGUAAUGUCUGGGAAACUGCCUGAUGGAGGGGGAUAACUACUGGAAACGGUAGCUAAUACCGCAUAACGUCGCAAGACCAAAGAGGGGGACCUUCGGGCCUCUUGCCAUCGGAUGUGCCCAGAUGGGAUUAGCUAGUAGGUGGGGUAACGGCUCACCUAGGCGACGAUCCCUAGCUGGUCUGAGAGGAUGACCAGCCACACUGGAACUGAGACACGGUCCAGACUCCUACGGGAGGCAGCAGUGGGGAAUAUUGCACAAUGGGCGCAAGCCUGAUGCAGCCAUGCCGCGUGUAUGAAGAAGGCCUUCGGGUUGUAAAGUACUUUCAGCGGGGAGGAAGGGAGUAAAGUUAAUACCUUUGCUCAUUGACGUUACCCGCAGAAGAAGCACCGGCUAACUCCGUGCCAGCAGCCGCGGUAAUACGGAGGGUGCAAGCGUUAAUCGGAAUUACUGGGCGUAAAGCGCACGCAGGCGGUUUGUUAAGUCAGAUGUGAAAUCCCCGGGCUCAACCUGGGAACUGCAUCUGAUACUGGCAAGCUUGAGUCUCGUACAGGGGGGUAGAAUUCCAGGUGUAGCGGUGAAAUGCGUAGA
rnacentral:rRNA from 1 species